ensembl:lncRNA
CUCACAACCUUCCCUGGCCGGCUGGCCUCCUGGGGAAUCGAACUACAAACUCUCACCGUUCCCAGGCAGCACAACUGAUAGGCAGGGGACAAAGGGAAUUGUACUCCCUUCCUGCUGGAUGUGGAAUAAAAUUGUGUCCGAAGUACAUGGGGGGACAGCUAAGUGUGCAAAGGAGUGUUAUUGGCUUUGGGUUCUGAAAGUCCCAGGAAUUUAUUUAUUUAUUUAACUUAUCUGCUUCUGCUCUUUCCUUCUGCUUCUGCUCUCCAGACCAGGGUUGCUUCUCCCCAGCCAACUAGAACUGAUGGAAGCUCUGGAGGAAGCGCCCGACCCCUUUUUUGGCCUGAUGGAGCCUCUGCUGCCGAGUCCUUCCUCCAUUCCACAUGUAAGAUGAUGAUCUCCCCGCACCCCCCUGACCCAAGAUAAUACGGCUUGCUUCUUCUCCCUCCCUUCCUCCCUCCCUCCCUCUCCGUGCGCUGGAUCCGAGCUUUCCAACAAGGGAAGCGGAUGAAGCAACAUCAUCCUUAUAUCUCCCUCCGCUUCCAGGUUCGAAACAUCUUGGAAACACCGACUCCGGAGAGAAGCCCCACGGAACGUGCCCCGUCUUCCAUGCGUCGGAGGACAGGAGAGCCUCUCCUCACCGUCUCUCCCGACGCCAUCACCCUCCGGGAGGCUGAACCCAUUACCUUGCCGAGGUUUGAAGUAAGGUCUUCUGCUGCCGCAGGGAAAUGGGAGACGGAGUGGUUUCAUGAUCUCAGACGUUGGGGGUGGGUGGGUGGCCUUUGGACUACAACUCCCAUUACCCACCCCUCCCAGCCCGUCAGCCAUGCUGCUGGUGGUAGGGAGUUAUGGGAGUUUUCACCCAGAAAAGUAACUUUCUCCUUCUGUGCCAUGAUGUGGGUUCACACUGGACGUUUCAUUUUUUUCUCUCUCGGUGGCAGGAGGAGCGAGACCUCCCCGAAAUCACGGCUCAAGAGAUCGACAUGUUGGCUGAACAAGAAGGGUUCCUGGUGCCCGGUGUGGCGACACCCCUGCUUUCGCCCAGGAAACGCCGUUUGGAAGAAGAACCCGCAGAGGAAAUCCGUGAACAGGAGCCUUCCCUGGCCUUGGGGCUGUCGCCUCCCCCACGGUAAAGUCUGGAGACUGUUCUGAAGGUUGCUGUUCAGCCCCAUCUCUGUUGAGAGAAGGGGAGGUAGCAGAGUCUUGUGAAGACAGAAACAAUCACACAGGCACAUAAUUCGAACCCAUGACUUUGAUAACACACACAUGUAUCAAAGAUGGCUUGGGAAUAGGUGCACCGUUACAAGCCCUUACAAAGCGUUCACACACACCCCUUUUCAUGAAACACGUUAGUUAGGUUUCUUCGGUUUCAAAAGCUUGCUCAAGCUAUUUGAUCGGUCACAAUAAUAUGAAAAGAAAAAGUUAUAUGGGUUCAUGCAGGGAGAUUGUGGGAAGGGAAAGCUCCGUGUAAGCCAGCGUCUCCUUCCUGAAAUGCAGUUGUGUAUCUCAAGGAAGAGUUUCUGCGCUUCGGAGUAGGAGCUUUUAAACAAGAUCGGGUUGGCCCUCGUUUGCCCCUAGAAUAGAGCUAUGGCCAGGCAGCAGGAUUGUGGGCGUUGUGGUCCAAGAAUGGGACUUAACUAAAUUCUGCUUUAGAGACAUGUUAAAAAAAACCCACACGUUUUCAUUCGUAGAAUAAUUGUCCUUGAAUGUUGAGUUGCAGAAGUUUUUUUUUACUACAACGCCCUGAAGCCUUCACAAGCCUAGCCAGGGAGAGAAUUCUGGGAAUUGUAGUUGCUGAAGACCAUCAGGGGCUUCCCAGGUUUGACCAUGACUGUCUUAGAGCAAGGGGGACUGGGGGACUGUUUGGCCCAAGGGCCAAAUAUGGUUUCAGAAGAAGGUUUCGGGGCCGAUUUCAGUCAUGGGGCGGAGGGGGCUGAAAUGGAGCUGGAAAUGCCAACCUAUUUUGGCUUAGAGAUGGUUCUGCCAGUUAACACACCUUGGGAGCGUUUUUCCCCCCACUUCUAGGAUGGAGGGAAAGGGGAAUUUCUGUACAAAAGACAGAGUAGCAUCCAAAAGUAGGUGUCUUAGGAAGGACUGAGUGGCCAUCGGCCCCACCACCACUAAAGAAAUCUGGUUUUGGCCUCCCGCAACACAAGAUCUCUUUGAUUUAGGAUUGCCGGCUGCUUUGGAGCCGGGACUUGGCUUCCUGCGCGUCCCCCCCCCCAUGCUUCUGUACAUGAUUCACACUCUCUUUAUGGGCUGUGUCUGCUUCCUGCCCCCCCCCCCGCUUCUGUACAUGAUUCGCACUCUCUUUAUGGGAUGUGUCUGUUUCCCAUCGGUGCAUUCCUUCCAGGAGCGGCUGGCCCUGCAGAAAAAUAAAAUAAAGAUGCGGCCUUGAUCA